rnacentral:lncRNA from 1 species
CACUGUAGAAAGGAGGAGGUUCAUAGGCUCAUCCCAAUAAAUAGUUAAAUCCCAAAUGAAUAAAGAAAAGGUAAGAUUUUUGUUCCAGUCAUAGCUUUUAUUUUUUGAGUAUUGCGACGCAUUCCAAAAUUGCAUCUCAAAUAAUGAGUUAUUCAUUCACCCGUUGGUGAGAUAAUGUAAUAAUUCACUUACAAUUUAUGAGAAAUCAUCAACCACUUAAUGAAUGAAAAGUCACAUGCCACGUCACUUGGGAUGAAAUUUGGGAUAAAAUUUUGGAAUAUUUAUCAUUACUGUUAUUUUUUUACCAGUCAAACAUUUUGACGCUCAAACAGACCAAAAUACAAAUAAACACUAGGGAGACCAUCUUUUGUUUCAGCCAAUUUUGCAGAAAAGAAAAACAUUUUAUGUUGCAGAUGAUAGUGCAUUCAGAUGACUGGAUCACAUGAAAGUGCAUUCAGAUGACUGGAUCACAUGAAAGUGCAUUCAGAUGUCUAGAUCAUAUGAAAGUGCAUAAAGAUGUCUGGAUCACAUGAAAGCACAUUCAGAUGACUGGUUCAUACCUCUAUUUUAAUUCCAGCACUUCUUGCC